AUGGAUGCCUCAUGUAGAUUUCUCCAAAGUUAUUUGGAUUCCAUCAUUGCAACCAGAUCAAACUCAACUGCUGACCCCAGGAAAGGGAAGGUGAGCUUAUCGUAUGAGAAAAGGGAGCCGGUGUCCAUGUCUGUGUUGAAGGCUGUAAGGUGGAAUCCACCUGCUCAGGGGUGGUUCAAGCUUAAUACAGAUGGAUCGUAUAAUGUGGAUGGCACAGCGGGUGCCGGAAUGAUCCUACGUAAUGAAGUUAGCGACGUUAUUUUCUCGGCAUGCAGACAACUGUUUUCGUGCCGGGAUGCGUUGGAAGCUGAGCUUUGUGGUUGCAUGGAAGGACUUUCGCUGGCUCUUCAGCGAAGCACUGCUCCCAUUAUCAUUGAAAUGGAUUCGCUCUCUGCGGUUUCCAUGAUUCAAGGAAAGGAGGUGGAUAGAUCGGUAUAUCCUGCACUCAUAAGGAGAUCAAAUUUCUGA
rnacentral:rRNA from 1 species